rnacentral:snRNA from 1 species
GCACUCUGGUAUCUCCUCAUUUACGCAUAAAUCUUUCGCCGUUUUACUAAAGAUUUCCAUGGGGAGGCACAAUACAAUGAGUCUUGCCUCGUUUUUUUUUUCAGCUCUGUCUUCGGACGGAGU